GUGAGGAAUAUUGGUCAAUGGGCGCAAGCCUGAACCAGCCAAGUAGCGUGCAGGAUGACUGCCCUAUGGGUUGUAAACUGCUUUUAUACGGGGAUAAAGUCAGGGUCGUGACCCUGUUUGCAGGUACCGUAUGAAUAAGGACCGGCUAAUUCCGUGCCAGCAGCCGCGGUAAUACGGAAGGUCCAGGCGUUAUCCGGAUUUAUUGGGUUUAAAGGGAGCGUAGGCCGGAGAUUAAGUGUGUUGUGAAAUGUAGAUGCUCAACAUCUGCACUGCAGCGCAUACUGGUUUCCUUGAGUACACGCAACGUUGGCGGAAUUCGUCGUGUAGCGGUGAAAUGCUUAGAUAUGACGAAGAACUCCGAUUGCGAAGGCAGCUGACGGGAGUGCAACUGACGCUGAAGCUCGAAAGUGCGGGUAUCGAACAGG
rnacentral:rRNA from 1 species